AAGUAACUUGUUCAACAGAAAGAAUAAUGACUUUCUUGAAUGGAAGCAAGUAAAAUAUAUAUAUGACUAGCCUUUAGAAUAUGAAUUUUGCAGAUCCACGAAAUCUGCAAAAUAAUCUUUCAUGUAUUGGAAAAAAUUAUUUUGUUGAAGAUACUGCCGACAAUUCCAAUGCUAUUACCGAUCUUUGUAACAUAUAAUAAAAUUAAGCAUCCAAAGCAGUAACAUCUGUGUGUUUGUGUU
rnacentral:lncRNA from 1 species